rnacentral:rRNA from 1 species
ACCGGCAAACGGGUGCGGAACACGUACACAACCUUCCGAUAAGUGGGGAAUAGCCCAGAGAAAUUUGGAUCAAUACCCCGUAACAUAUAGAGUAGGCAUCUUCUUUAUAUUAUAGCUUCGGCGCUUAUUGAUGGGUGUGCGUCUGAUUAGGUAGUUGGCGGGGUAACGGCCCACCAAGCCUACGAUCAGUAGCUGAUGUGAGAGCAUGAUCAGCCACACGGGCACUGAGACACGGGCCCGACUCCUACGGGAGGCAGCAGUAAGGAAUAUUGGACAAUGGGCGAAAGCCUGAUCCAGCCAUGCCGCGUGAAGGAUUAAGGUCCUCUGGAUUGUAAACUUCUUUUAUUUGGGACGAAAAAAGGGAAUUCUUUCCCACUUGACGGUACCAAGUGAAUAAGCACCGGCUAACUCCGUGCCAGCAGCCGCGGUAAUACGGAGGGUGCAAGCGUUAUCCGGAUUCACUGGGUUUAAAGGGUGCGUAGGCGGGUAUGUAAGUCAGUGGUGAAAUCUCGGAGCUUAACUCCGAAACUGCCAUUGAUACUAUAUAUCUUGAAUAUUGUGGAGGUUUGCGGAAUAUGUCAUGUAGCGGUGAAAUGCUUAGAUAUGACAUAGAACACCUAUUGCGAAGGCAGCAGGCUACACAUAUNUUGACGCUGAGGCACGAANNNNUGGGGAUCAAACAGGAUUAGAUACCCUGGUAGUCCACGCCCUAAACGAUGGAUACUCGACAUACGCGANACACUGUGUGUGUCUGANCGAAAGCAUUAAGUAUNCCACCUGGGAAGUACGACCGCANGGUUGAAACUC